GCCCUUAUAGCUUAAAGGUAAAGCAUAAUACUGUUAAUAUUUGUAUAGAUGUUCGAAUCAUCUUAAGGGCU
rnacentral:tRNA from 1 species